CAGGCGGCGUAGAGAUGCCCUACCUUGGCCACCACGGCCCCGCGCCGCCGGCACGCCGCGUGGGCCUCAGACAGCGUCAGCCGCCCGGACACGAAGAACACGUGGCCUGGGGACCAGAGCAGAGAACCUGCUUCGCAGAGUGAUGGUGGGAACUGAGACUGACUGAAGGACCAGCAGCAGGGACAGCUGGCACUCACAAGUUUGAAGCUGAAUGUGCCUGAAGCUGCUCUGAGCACUUUACAUGUCUGCUUUUAUAUUUACUCCUCCCAGCCAUCCUACAAGUAGCUUCGCACUAUUAGAAUCAUCCACGUUCAGAACUGGAAGGGACCUCAGGACACUCGGCUUCCUCAGUUACCAGAUGAAGAAGAGGACGUGGAGGAGAAAGUGACCUGCCCAAGGCCACACAGACACGGUUGUUGAGUGAAGCUUAGAAUCACCGCUUUUUCUGCUAAUCAGCCUUCUGCUGCUCUCCUCCACUCUCCGAGUUAGCUGAACUGCGGGGUUUUCACUGGGGCCUGUGUCUGAUAACAAGGAGCCCACCCCACUGGUCCUCUUUGAGGAUUUGAUUGACUGUCUUUUCCCUCUCCGCUCCAUCCUCAUUUCUAAGCCCUUCCCUCUUCCUCUCAGAGAGAAGGACCAACAAGAGAAGACAAACAGCCGCUUGUCUCCUCAGCCAGGACGCCCUGAUCCAGCGCAUCUGAUUGGCUUCCGCCCAACUCAAACAAACAGCCUCCCGCAGAGAGGGGGACAGUACAGUGGGAGGCAGCCCGUGGCUGCCACCAUUCCAGGCUCACUCCCCACGGCGCCUUUCUCUCCAGAUCACUUCUGAACUGUGGUUUGGAAGUCUCUGGUAUGUACAUCCAUAAAAGCCUGAGUUUGGCAGGGAGCAAGGCCUAGAACUCUUCAAUCGAUGCAGAAAGAACCCUUUGAGGAUGGAAUGAGAAAGGAGCAGACCAGGAAUGAGUCAGUAGUGCAGAGCCAAACUGGGCUUCGCUCGCUCACGCUCCUUUCUAGGUCUCCCCAGGACUCUCUGAAAGAGGAAGGCGUGAGACAGCUCAGGCGCCGGCUGGCGUCUUUUCACUGAACUAGCGUCUUCUGAGGAGAGGCCUCUGCCUCUCCUGCUACUACUGACCAGGGUGAGGUGGGACCCUCUAGGACAAGCGAGGAGUCCUGGCACCUCUUUCCGUAACACCCCAGACUCAGCUCCACCCUCCAGGCACAGCUGACCAGUUUUCUUGACCCCUGGUGAUGGCAAACACAGUCCCAGUUUACUGCUGGGAUUGUUGCAUGAAGGACUGGAGGAGUUAGCAAAACGGCACCUUAGAUGGAAGAGCAGGGAGCGGCUCGGUGUGCCCGGCAGGGCUCCUGCUCCUUCUGACACAAUCCAUGUUCACACACAGCUGCUGCGUUCUCUGCAGGCCACUGGGCAGCCUCCCCUCCUGCUCUGCUGGCCCUGGCCUUUCUCCUCCUCCCUGGCAGCCCCCAGGCCACUCUCUUCUCUCUGGUCCAGGCUCAGGCCUCUUGUGGCGCUGGAUCCUGGCUCCACUGCAGGAUGAUGUGGGGAGUGAGGCCGAAGGAGUCAGCCUUGAAAAGACCCGUUUUCCACUCAGGAGGCCUCAUUGUACCCUGAACAGACUUUGUAUUGUGGAUAGAGUCAAGGGUGGGAAGAAAGGGGGAGAUGGAGUCCCUGUCCUUGGAGGGGCUGCCAAUCUGGAGGGGGCAUGAGGUCACACGGGCUAUGGAAGGAACAGCGGAAUGAGAGGAGUCCUGUGUCAGCCAGAUGCUAACCUCAUAUAAGACUCUCUACCAAGCUCCUGGAGCUUCAGUCUUUAAUUGCCAAGCAGGUACCACGUCUGCCCAGCGAGACUUAUUGGUGUGAGGGAGACGGAACAGCAUUCCAUCAAGUGAAAAGCACAUUAUGAAUCAGUUCGUUGUUAGAGGCUGGGGGAUCCUUCUAUAUAGUGAGGGUAACCAGUGGGGUUUCCCAGUUUGGGAUCCCUGGAAGUCUGAGACAACAGCAGAGGAGAAGAGGAAGGAAGGGAGGAGAGGCAAAAAGGGGUAGAGGGCCAAAGAGCUCUCUCCCUCUUACUCUCUCUAUUUCCAUCUCUAGGGCGAGCAUGAGGACGUCACUGCAGUGCCUCAGAUGCCACCUGGAGCCCUGACAGGAGACUGUGCCUCAUGUCGACUGCCCUGCCCAGCCUGGAAGUCCUGGGCAGAGCUUGGUCGCCUGUUUGUCACUCCAGCCCCUUUAUUUGGGGCUCUUGAGAAGUGGGCCUCAUGGUGCCCACUUCAGUACUGAUCAGAACCUAGAAACUAGCACCAAGGAUGUCCAGAGGGAGGAGCUGGCUGGCUGUAUGGGCAGCUUCUUCCUGGCUCUGAAACGUCUCAGAGGAAUAGGAUGGGGGUGUCAUGCUGUCCUCAUCUCAACCUGGCAGAUGUUCAGGUUCAUCAAUCAUGUCUGUUCUGAGGGUGUUGGGGGGCAGUGGGGGCAGCGGGCCAGGCCGUGCUCCUCUCAAGUCCUUCUUUUCCGAAGGGCCUCACUGUGCAGAGAAGCAGGUGAGGGGCAGAAGUAGAUGGCCGUAGAAAAUUCUCAGUCUAGUGGGAUAACACCUGUUCUGUCGACCUCAGAGGUAGACGAGGGUAGAGUAAAAUCAUAGAAAGCGCAGGGAACAGCAAAAGACAAGUGUCCAGUGGCUAUUUUCAUGGUUAAUAAGAUUUAACGAUUGUAUUUUACUUAUUAAUAAUCACAUCACCUCUCAUCCUGUCUGUAACAGUCAGUUCACUGCUAUAUCCAAGUGGGCCACUGAAACUGCGUCUUCGUUCGACCACCCCUGCCAAGGCCUUGAGAUCCUGACCCCUCGUUUUAUCUCCCAGACCCCAAAGCUCGCUCAGAGCCCUGCUUCUCUCCCCACUGUGGCUGGGCUGGGCUGGGCUGGGUCUGACUUUCGUUGGUACAGACUCUCCCUCCCAGUCUCAUACUAGUCAAACUUAAACCCAGAAGUAAGAAGAUUUGCAGGUUUUAAUCAACUAUUCUCAGAUAGAAUUUGAAUAAUUUAAAAAAGUGAGCCCUAUCUUAUAGCUCCACUUUCCUUCACACGGGAGAAAUAAACACUACCACAGUAUAAUUAUUCCCAUUUUAUGGACAAGGAACCUGAUGUCCAGACAAAGCAGGUAGCCUGUUCAAGGUCAUAUGGCUACUAAGUGACCCAGUAGCUUAUCGCAGAAGCUAGCUGAAGUCCUCCCUUCUGUGAAAGGAUAUUUCCUCCAAACUUGGAAAAGGUAAAAUGCGGAUUGCUCAGUUUUUCGUUUUUGUCUUUUUGGUAUCACUCUAGAGCAUUGUCCAAAAAGCUUGCUGGACACUCAUCUUCCUCUCCCGGGGAGGGUAACUUUGUUGUUACAGUGUAUUUGAUAAAUAAUCGAUAACAGACAAAGAUGCAGACACUUACAGUCGUGUAUGGUUAGUGGUUAACUGGCAGAAGUUGAUAAAAUGAUAAGGUUGUAUUGCCCAACAGAGAGGUUAACCACAAAAGUGUUUUCGUUUUAUUGUCCGAGAAUGUUGACCAGUCUCGUAUCUAAAUUAGCAAUCUCAUUUUGGCAUUCCUUUUCUUCUUGACUGUAUAAGUCCCUGUUGCUCAAAUGCUCUUCAAAGCUACUCUUUUAUCUUCUUCCUGGUUCCCUCAUCAAUGAGUCAAAUAAAUCUUUGACGUAAGUUAACAGAUAACCUUAAGAAUUGUGUUUUUCCUCUUCUCAACUUGCCUAUAUUGAAGACCACACACUAACGCUCUCCGCUUCCCUCGAACAGCAGAUCCCCUGGCGGAACCAGCCCGUGAGUCCCCCUCAACCUGCACCUCCUUGAGGGCAGGGGACUGUGUAACUCCAGCCCACAGCGGACCAGCAACGGGCACCGAGAGGAGGUGGCCAUUCUCAGCAGGAGUCCUCUCUGUGCCUUCCCGUAGUUAAGGACACCCUCUGCUCCAGUGGAGCACCAUCGUUCCGGCAGCUCAAUCCCAUUAGCAACAUCAGGGACCUUAUGACACACCAGUUGUGCUUCCUUCAGGAAGCCUUCCUUAACAAAAGCGAGAAACGAUUCAACGGCUUCCUCCCUUGGCAUAUACUAGGCAUUCAAAAAUGUUUACUGAAUAAAUAAAUAAAAUUGAGGUUUUCUCAUUUCUGCAAGCUUAGCAAAAACUCAGUAUGGUGUAGUGGUUAAGCUCCACUGGCUCUGGAAUUUAAGUGUCUGGGAAUAAAUCACAGCCCUGCUCCCUACUAACCGGAUCACAUUAGGCAACUUGCCUACCUUCUCUUUGCUUCAUUGUUUUCAUCUGAAAUUAAGCACAACAACAGCAGUGACAACAUCAAUAACGAGAACAGUGCCUGACUCACAGAAAGCAAUAGAUGUAUUUUAGCCCUUGUUAUUGGUGGGGGGAAGAAAUAUCAAAGGGGACAGAAUCAAUCAAAACACAGAUACUGAUUAAUUAUAAGGAAUUGCCUUAUUUUUAAAAGGAUAUAAAAGCUGCACAUAAAAGUCAAUGUCCCACUUAAUUAUUUUUAUUUAUUACAAAACAAAAUAAAGGCAAUACCUGCAUAUAAUGGAAAAGAAUUCAACCACUAUCAAAGGGAUAAUAAAAUGAAAAGUAAAAUUCUCCUUUCCUUCCUUCCUUCUUCUCACUUCCUUCUGGAACAAUUAAACCGUUGUUAAGGUUCUUCUAUAUUUGUCAAGAAAGUUUUAAAGAAUCUAAAAGAUUGCAGAUAAAAAGAAACAGACAUCAUGCGUAUAUUUUAAAAAUCUAAUUGAGAUCAUAUUACACAAACUGUUCCCUACCUUGCUUUUUUCACCUAAUAAGAUGUUGUGAGCAUCAGCACACGACAUAAAGCUCCCUCAUUCUUUUUCACGUCUGCUUGGUAUUCCACUGGGUGGCCACAGAAUAAUUCAUUUAACGAGAUGCCUAUUGAUGGACAUUUGGGUUGCUAGAGGUUGAGACAACUAGUUAGCCAUCUGGGGAAAAAAAUCAAAUCUUAAACUCAUUCCUUAAACUAAAUAAAUUUCAGGAUGCUCAAAGAUGUAAAUAUAAAAAUGAAGCCAGAAUGAAUCAUAGAAUAAUAAUUUUUUAAAUUGGAAGGCAACUUCUAUCACUUUUUUAAAAACUGAUUACAGAAUGAUACACUUAAUUAUAAACAAUUGAACAAACAAAAACCUUAGAAAUGAAAAUACCCCUUAGUCCUGCCACACAGAGAAAAUAACUUUUAACAACUUGUUGUCUGUCCUUCCAAACUUUCAAGACAUUUCUAUGUAUUUACAUGUGUGUGAAUUUUUUUAGUCAUGAUGUAAAUGGCAACGUGCAUGACAUCAGGUAGCCAGCAGGUGGCGCAAGAAGACUGCGAUACCGGCGCGUCUGGGCCCUGCAGCGGGCGGGGCUCCGCAGCCAGCUGGUGUCCUGUGCACUGUGGCCGGGUCACCACACGUCUGAGGCGGAAGAUGUUCUGAGAUGCAAAUGGUACAGCAGAGACCUCAAAGCUCCUGUGUUUAGCUGAGCUCUAGUUCAGAGGGAGGGAGUCAAUUUCUCAAAGCGUUGUUCUUAUUGUAGCAGCAGUGCUAAGAGAAAGAACGAGGCUGGGAUUCCUUGCUGUUUUUCCUUCCAGCAUGGUCCUCUUUUCCACCUCUACUUCCACUCGUGUUGGUGUUUUAUACUGUCACUUUCAGAAAUUUUUUCAUAGAAUUUUUACUGAUGUAUCUGGAAAUAUUUUAUUUUUAAAAAUAAAAAGAAACAGCCAAGAUGGAUGUGUUGGCUGGCUACCUUAAAAACUCCACUCCUUAGGACGACUCUAGAAGGGGCAGCAAGCGCUGUGAGGGAAAGGGGGCCCCGCUAUGCCCCGCCUCCC